UUCAGAGCUGUUGAUUCAGAAGACCUCCAUUUAUCACAGAACUGAUCCAGCACAGACAGUGGCAGUACAAGUUUACCUACACUGCCCUGAUGCAUCUCAACUCUGUUAGGAAAGAGCACAUCUAGGAGUGUUCGUUCAAAUCCAUUCAGUACUCUGUUAAA
rnacentral:sRNA from 1 species